GACGAACGCUGGCGGCGUGCUUAACACAUGCAAGUCGAACGGAAAGGCCCUGCUUUUGUGGGGUGCUCGAGUGGCGAACGGGUGAGUAACACGUGAGUAACCUUCCCUUGACUUUGGGAUAACUUCAGGAAACUGGGGCUAAUACCGGAUAGGAGCUCCUGCUGCAUGGUGGGGUUUGGAAAGUUUCGGCGGUUGGGGAUGGACUCGCGGCUUAUCAGCUUGUUGGUGGGGUAGUGGCUUACCAAGGCUUUGACGGGUAGCCGGCCUGGGAGGGUGACCGGCGACAUGGGGACUGAGAGACGGCCCAGACUGCUACGGGAGGCAGCAGUGGGGAAUAUGGCACAAUGGGCGGAAGCCUGAGGCAGAAACGCCGCGUGCGGGAUGAAGGCCUUCGGGUUGUAAACCGCUGUAGCCUGUGACGAAGCGGGAGUGACGGUAAUGGGUAAAGAAGCACCGGCUAACUACGUG
rnacentral:rRNA from 1 species